GACGAACGCUGGCGGCGUGCUUAACACAUGCAAGUCGAGCGGAGCGGCGAACGGGUGAGUAACGCGUGAGUAACUGCCCCCCUCCCUGGGAUAACAGUUGGAAACGGCUGCUAAUACCGGAUAGCGGGGGAUGACUCGCGUCCUAUCAGCUUGUUGGUGGGGUAGUGGCCUACCAAGGCGACGACGGGUAGCCGGCCUGGGAGGGCGACCGGCCACGUUGGGGUGAGAUACGGCCCAAACUCCGACGGGAGGCAGCAGUGGGGAGUAUUGCACAAUGGGCGCAAGCCUGAUGCAGGGGCGCCGCGUGAGGGAUGAAGGCGUUCGGGUUGUAAACCUCUUUCGGUACAGAACGGGUAUGUGCAGAAGAAGCGCCGGCUAACUACGUGCCAGCCGCCGCGGUAAUAC
rnacentral:rRNA from 1 species